rnacentral:rRNA from 1 species
GCAGGCUGNAACCCGCCUGCAUGAAGUUGGAAUCGCUAGUAAUCGCGGAUCAGCAUGCCGCGGUGAAUACGUUCCCGGGCCUUGUACACACCGCCCGUCACACCAUGAGAGUCGGGAACACCCGAAGUCCGUAGCCUGACCGCAAGGGGGCGCGGCCGAAGGUGGGUUCGAUAAUUGGGGUGAAGUCGUAACAAGGUAAC